UUGACUUGGUGGAGUUGGCUGGCAGGGCAUUUGAGUGUUCUUUUUUUUCCUAGCUGCUCCGUGCUCGUUGCUAUGCAGCUGUGUUCUUGUGAAGAGAAAGUGUGCGUGUCUGUUUUUCUUCAGAGAAGCAUACGGAGCCUUUCUAAGGGCGGCUGGGUCUUACUUGUGAUGUGCCAGUAAUGGAUGGAGUUGCUGUGGUCAGCAGUGCCUACACUGCAGGAUGACUCUGUUUGGGACUCUGAUUGGGACUCCGAUUGGGACUGAGAUGGAUGAGGGCCCUCGUUGUGUGCUUGGAGCCCUUUCUACCUUGACUACUGUUAGAACUUCUCUUUCUCCUUGAAGGUGGAUGAGCAGGACGAUGCUGAUUUCACCAAUGAAAUAGCUAAGAAGAGCACAAAAGCAGACAUUUCAAAGCAUUCCAGACCUAAAAGGAAAAGAAGGUCCUGGAAUGUUCAGAAGACCCGCCCGAAGCAAUCCCUCAGACCCUGAGGGAGGAAGAGUCCAUAUGAACCACACUAAAAGUUAGAAUUUAUUGUAUAUCAAGAUACCUGGAGUGCUCCCCAAGAAGACUGCUCACCUGAUCGGUUUACUGAACGCGAACAAAGAAAUUGAGGAUAUUUUCCCUUCAACAGAAGAGAUGGUGGAGCUAGUAUGUAGCAUUCCAGUUACAUACUUCCAAUACACUAGGAGAGAGGCCACUGGAAUCUUCCUUUAAUUCUGAUGUCAUGGCGGAAAGCUUAGAGGCCCAUCCAUCUCUACUUUUGGACGGCUAAGGGGCACAUGAUAAGGAACCUCACUUCCUUUGCAUCUAACUUCAGGGACAUAUGACAGGACAUAACAGAUAUAUCCUUGUUGCUGUUCAGCAACACCGAAACCAGUGAGGGUUCAAUCAAAUCAGGAAAACAGAACGUCUAAGUGGUCUGGAUUCAGGUUGUCUCCCACAACGGAAAAAGAUGUUGAGGAAGUGAAGGUCCAGAAGAGGGCGCGAGAGGAUCAGCUAAAGCAUAUGAAUGGGUCUUCCUGAAGUCCCGGUGUGGGCGGGGGACAUGGGGGCAGCCCAGUCUGAGGACUCCACAGGCAAGAGGCUAUGGCAGGGCAGAGGAAAGAGCCGACCAGAUGAAUUGGGUGCCAGGGGUGGGGGCGGUGGACCACAUGUGAGCCCCCAGGAGAGAGGGCUGUUCUGGAGCCGCUUUAAGUCCUGUUCGAGAGGACUCUGCAGCAGGGGGUGGACUCCUGAAUUUACAGGGACAGAAGGACCGAACAUGCCCGCCAGAGGAACGUGUAUUGCUGCCAUCUCUGUAAGUGUAGACAGUUGUUCUCAGGCUAGACUGAAGUACCACACAGGCCAGCCAAGGAAGGGAAUCCGCUUUGUUCUUCCCUCCCAGCUGGGGGGUAACUGCAGACACCUGCAAUGAGAAACCAGCACCAGAUUACACUUAUUCUGCCUUCUACCUUUCUUCUUUCCUCUGCUCCAAACCCAGAGGGACCUAAAUCAGAGUCAGAAAACCAGCUGGGAGAAGAAGCAGUGAGGGAGGGAAAUAAAAAAGAAGUUCAAUAUAGCCCCAUUAUAGCCUUCUGAGCUUGUCAAACCUAGGAGGGGCAGGAUGAUUUCACUUUAAAUAAAAUUCAGACUUUUAGAAAAUUGCACUUGGCUGGGUACAUUUAUUACUAUUCUUAUGCUUGAAAGUGAAGGGAAGUCCUCUUAUUCUCUAAUAGUGAUUGAAGACGUGGACUUUAUCAGAGAUUUCAUACAGGGACAGGCAAAGAACUCAGCUCACAGAGUAAGCUCACUUGGCAGUAAGGCAAAGAAUAAAGUUAUUUUCUGAUUGAGUCGUAAGGGUCUUGAUUGUUCAGCUUAGCAGUUACCUGCCUUGGUUAAAAAGAAAAAAUCAAGCAGCACAUAGUAGGCAAACCAGCUUAUCUUGACUUCAUUUACUUUAAAGACAAGCAGAAGAAAGGACUUUCUGAGUAUUUGGAAGAUUUCGCUGAAGGAAGCGGAUAUGGCUGUGAGUAGUUUUGAAAGUAUCAGAUGUUACAAAAUUGAGUCUUGUGGCAGAAGGCAAACUUGUUCAGUGGUGCUGGGGCUACUGCCAUGCCUUCAGUCACCUCUUUUUGUACGUUUCCCGAAAGUGACUUUGCCUGUUUGAGGCUUGGCUAGGGUGUAGCUAAGCCUAUGGCAGGAGUCUUUUAUUGCUUUGUGGAUUUCAAAGAGUCUAUUGUUUUGCUGUUCGCAUCUUUCUCAGCCUGAAAAAUUCUUGCAGUUGAGUUGAAAUGUCUGUUUUCUACUCAAGAAGGUAGAAAAUGAGAUCACAGGGUAAUGUCACCAUUCUAAAUUAUUUAAAUUCCAAUCUCCUUUUGCCUGAAUUUAUAAACUUCCACAUGCUAGUGAACUCUCAGUAUAGGGUUGAAAACGAUAUGGCUUAGUCAAAAUAGGAUAUAAAAUCUUGGACAUAAAAAUAGGAAUAGAAAUAAACUGGAAGAUGACUUUAAAAUAACCUUAAUUUCUACUCAACCCCUGGAGGUGAUUCUAAUUCUUUUUUUUAACCCUAACCAUAAUCCUCUGAAUAAUCUCUAGGAAAGGACUGAUUCUCAUUACUAUAAAUGUUUUAGUUAGACUUUGUUUUCAAAUGCAAAGAAAUUCUGAGAAUGAAGCAUUUUGUUGAACUAAAAUUGUAUUGCUGGUGCUUAUAAGCAUUGGUUUCUAGUCUUGCACUAAGUAUCUCUCCAGGAGUGAAUCUAAAGCGACCACGUGAGAAAAAUCCUGGAAAACUGGUUCACCUGUGUUCAGGAUCCCAUGAGAGGAGGGUACUUGCAGGGUUAAAAUACUGAUAAAGCUGCUUGUGGUAUCUCCAGCGUGCAGGUCUACCCUUAAAUCCAGACCAAGGAGCUUACCAGGCUUUCGCCCAAGACUAUAACCCCAAAUUGCCCUAGUCUAGGCUUUUAAAAAUGCCCAUUUGAAGGAAGCAUCUAUUAGGAAACACCGUAUUAGGGAAAUAAUUGACAUCAACUCCUCAGCAGGCUUUAAGUUGUGUCCUUGAGUCGGGUUCUAUGGCUGAAAAGCAAUGUACUUGACCAUCAGCUUUGCCCUUUCCAGACGCCCUCCCUGUGCUGCAGUGUAAUGGGAUGUUCUCCGUUUUUAUGGAGGUCGCAACAAGAGAGAAGCAUAGGAAAUUUGCUCCUUCAUUUACUCUGACACCGUCUAUUACAUUAUUUAAUGUGCCCUAUAUAAAUCCUCAUAUGAGACAUUCUUUUAGAAUUUGGUUCUAAGGAAAAAAAAAUAUCUCCCCUGAGGAACUCACUGCUAAAUACCUUUCUUUCUGUUAUAGGAACUUACUAUGAUUUAUCUGGUUACAUUUUAUUCUCAUGGUU